ACCGGUGUGGCUCAGUGGAUAGAGCAUUGGCCUGCGAACUCGAGAGUCCCAGGUUCGAUUCCGGUCAAAGGCA
rnacentral:tRNA from 1 species